CUAUGCCACGUUUAUGCAGGGUCGGACUUGUCAAUCAUCAACAUCGACAGCGUCACCAUCGACAACGCAGCGUUGGGACAGGAGGUGGCCGUGGACGCGAGAGUCCAAGUUCUCCGAACCUUUGGAAGCUAUCCCGUCUUGGAAAUAUACGUCAACAACACGGGAGGAAACGUACUUCCGUGCUUCUACAGUUAUCUGCCGAAAGAAGCGAGGCUUUGUAACGGCACGACGGCUGUGGAAGAAAAACUGAGUUCCGACUGGAACAACCGGUGCCCCAUAAGAGCAGGUGGAUACACCUUCCACCUCGUAUUCAAGCUUCCUAGCGUUCCGUCCGCCGAGUCCUGCGUAGGGAAUGGCGAUCUGGUUUUCACUUUCAAAGUUAGGGACGAAGGUUAUAUUUUGGACUGCGUGACAUUUCCCGUCAAGAUUGAUCGUCG